GAUCAUGGCUCAGGAUGAACGCUAGCGACAGGCUUAACACAUGCAAGUCGAGGGGCAGCAUGAUUUGUAGCAAUACAGAUUGAUGGCGACCGGCGCACGGGUGAGUAACGCGUAUGCAACUUACCUAUCAGAGGGGGAUAGCCCGGCGAAAGUCGGAUUAAUACCCCAUAAAACGAGGGGUCCCGCAUGGGAAUAUUUGUUAAAGAUUCAUCGCUGAUAGAUAGGCAUGUCCG
rnacentral:rRNA from 1 species